AGGCGACGAAGUGGUUGAUACCAUGCUUCCAAGAAAAGCUCCUAAGCUUCAGAUAACUGGGAACCGUACCCCAAACCGACACAGGUGGUUAGGUAGAGAAUACCAAGGCGCUUGAGAGAACUCGGGUGAAGGAACUAGGCAAAAUGGCACCGUAACUUCGGGAGAAGGUGCGCCGGCGAGGGUGAAGGACUUGCUCCGUAAGCCCAUGCCGGUCGAAGAUACCAGGCCGCUGCGACUGUUUAUUAAAAACACAGCACUCUGCAAACACGAAAGUGGACGUAUAGGGUGUGACGCCUGCCCGGUGCCGGAAGGUUAAUUGAUGGGGUUAGCGCAAGCGAAGCUCUUGAUCGAAGCCCCGGUAAACGGCGGCCGUAACUAUAACGGUCCUAAGGUAGCGAAAUUCCUUGUCGGGUAAGUUCCGACCUGCACGAAUGGCGUAACGAUGGCGGCGCUGUCUCCACCCGAGACUCAGUGAAAUUGAAAUCGCUGUGAAGAUGCAGUGUAUCCGCGGCUAGACGGAAAGACCCCGUGAACCUUUACUAUAGCUUUGCACUGGACUUUGAAUUUGCUUGUGUAGGAUAGGUGGGAGGCUUUGAAGUGGGGACGCCAGUUCUCAUGGAGCCAUCCUUGAAAUACCACCCUGGCAACUUUGAGGUUCUAACUCAGGUCCGUCAUCCGGAUCGAGGACAGUGUAUGGUGGGUAGUUUGACUGGGGCGGUCUCCUCCCAAAGAGUAACGGAGGAGUACGAAGGUGCGCUCAGACCGGUCGGAAAUCGGUCGUAGAGUAUAAAGGCAAAAGCGCGCUUGACUGCGAGACAAACACGUCGAGCAGGUACGAAAGUAGGUCUUAGUGAUCCGGUGGUUCUGUAUGGAAGGGCCAUCGCUCAACGGAUAAAAGGUACUCCGGGGAUAACAGGCUGAUACCGCCCAAGAGUUCAUAUCGACGGCGGUGUUUGGCACCUCGAUGUCGGCUCAUCACAUCCUGGGGCUGAAGCCGGUCCCAAGGGUAUGGCUGUUCGCCAUUUAAAGUGGUACGCGAGCUGGGUUUAGAACGUCGUGAGACAGUUCGGUCCCUAUCUGCCGUGG
rnacentral:rRNA from 1 species